CCAGCGGACCGCGGAGGGUUGGCUAUCCUUUGUCGCGUGGAGUAUGUGAGCUCCCUGAAAGUACAAAGCAAUUGUUUCCACGUUCUGAUCAUUCAGAGAUAAGAAUGCUUGCCUUUGAUUUGUUCACAGUGAAAUGGAGCAGACAAGUCAACAGUUACAGUCUGUCCACUGUGUGUUCUAAAAGAGAUUUAUCAGCAGGUUGCAGGUGAACAUGGCCUUGAGGUAAAUCCUUCCCCUUGUCGAAUUUAGUUUCAGCAGAUUAUUCAUGGCAUUUUAAAGAAUUAGAAUAUUUCACAAAAAACAAAAGUUCCAUUUAGUUC